rnacentral:rRNA from 1 species
GACGAACGCUGGCGGCGUGCCUAAUACAUGCAAGCAGAACGCUGAAGCUUGGUGCUUGCACCGAGCGGAUGAGUUGCGAACGGGUGAGUAACGCGUAGGUAACCUGCCUGGUAGCGGGGGAUAACUAUUGGAAACGAUAGCUAAUACCGCAUAAGAGUAGAUGUUGCAUGACAUUUGCUUAAAAGGUGCAAUUGCAUCACUACCAGAUGGACCUGCGUUGUAUUAGCUAGUUGGUGAGGUAACGGCUCACCAAGGCAACGAUACAUAGCCGACCUGAGAGGGUGAUCGGCCACACUGGGACUGAGACACGGCCCAGGCUCCUACGGGAGGCAGCAGUAGGGAAUCUUCGGCAAUGGACGGAAGUCUGACCGAGCAACGCCGCGUGAGUGAAGAAGGGUUUCGGAUCGUAAAGCUCUGUUGUAAGAGAAGAACGAGUGUGAGAGUGGAAAGUUCACACUGUGACGGUAUCUUACCAGAAAGAGACGGCUAACUACGUG